UUAAGCGAACAAGCGUACACGGUGGAUGCCCUGGCAGUCAGAGGCGAUGAAGGACGUGCUAAUCUGCGAAAAGCGCCGGUAAGGUGAUAUGAACCGUUAUAACCGGCGAUGUCCGAAUGGGGAAACCCGGUGCACUUCGGUGCAUCAUCGUUAGCUGAAUACAUAGGCUAACGAGGCGAACCGGGGGAACUGAAACAUCUAAGUACCCCGAGGAAAAGAAAUCAACCGAGAUUCCCCCAGUAGCGGCGAGCGAACGGGGAACAGCCCAGAGCCUGAAUCAGCUUGUGUGUCAGUGGAACGGUCUGGAAAGGCCGGCGAUACAGGGUGACAGCCCCGUACACGAAGGCACACAGGCUGUGAGCUCGAUGAGUAGGGCGGGACACGUGAUAUCCUGUCUGAAGAUGGGGGGACCAUCCUCCAAGGCUAAAUACUCCUGACUGACCGAUAGUGAACCAGUACCGUGAGGGAAAGGCGAAAAGAACCCCGGCGAGGGGAGUGAAACAGAACCUGAAACCGUGUACGUACAAGCAGUGGGAGCCUUCGUAAGAGGGUGACUGCGUACCUUUUGUAUAAUGGGUCAGCGACUUAUAUUCUGUAGCAAGGUUAACCGUAUAGGGGAGCCGAAGGGAAACCGAGUCUUAACCGGGCGUUAAGUUGCAGGGUAUAGACCCGAAACCCGGUGAUCUAGCCAUGGGCAGGUUGAAGGUUGGGUAACACUAACUGGAGGACCGAACCGACUAAUGUUGAAAAAUUAGCGGAUGACCUGUGGCUGGGGGUGAAAGGCCAAUCAAACCGGGAGAUAGCUGGUUCUCCCCGAAAGCUAUUUAGGUAGCGCCUCGUGAACUCAUCUCCGGGGGUAGAGCACUGUUUCGGCUAGGGGGCCAUCCCGGCUUACCAACCCGAUGCAAACUGCGAAUACCGGAGAAUGUUAUCACGGGAGACACACGGCGGGUGCUAACGUCCGUCGUGAAGAGGGAAACAACCCAGACCGCCAGCUAAGGUCCCAAAGUCAUGGUUAAGUGGAAACGAUGUGGGAAGGCCCAGACAGCCAGGAUGUUGGCUUAGAAGCAGCCAUCAUUUAAAGAAAGCGUAAUAGCUCACUGGUCGAGUCGGCCUGCGCGGAAGAUGUAACGGGGCUAAACCAUGCACCGAAGCUGCGGCAGCGACACUAUGUGUUGUUGGGUAGGGGAGCGUUCUGUAAGCCUGCGAAGGUGUGCUGUGAGGCAUGCUGGAGGUAUCAGAAGUGCGAAUGCUGACAUAAGUAACGAUAAAGCGGGUGAAAAGCCCGCUCGCCGGAAGACCAAGGGUUCCUGUCCAACGUUAAUCGGGGCAGGGUGAGUCGACCCCUAAGGCGAGGCCGAAAGGCGUAGUCGAUGGGAAACAGGUUAAUAUUCCUGUACUUGGUGUUACUGCGAAGGGGGGACGGAGAAGGCUAUGUCGGCCGGGCGACGGUUGUCCCGGUUUAAGCGUGUAGGCUGACUUUCCAGGCAAAUCCGGAAGGUUAAGGCUGAGGCGUGAUGACGAGGCACCACGGUGCUGAAGUGACAAAUGCCCUGCUUCCAGGAAAAGCCUCUAAGCAUCAGGUAACAUCAAAUCGUACCCCAAACCGACACAGGUGGUCAGGUAGAGAAUACCAAGGCGCUUGAGAGAACUCGGGUGAAGGAACUAGGCAAAAUGGUGCCGUAACUUCGGGAGAAGGCACGCUGACAUGUAGGUGAAGCCCCUGCGGGUGGAGCUGAAGUCAGUCGAAGAUACCAGCUGGCUGCAACUGUUUAUUAAAAACACAGCACUGUGCAAACACGAAAGUGGACGUAUACGGUGUGACGCCUGCCCGGUGCCGGAAGGUUAAUUGAUGGGGUUAUCGCAAGAGAAGCUCCUGAUCGAAGCCCCGGUAAACGGCGGCCGUAACUAUAACGGUCCUAAGGUAGCGAAAUUCCUUGUCGGGUAAGUUCCGACCUGCACGAAUGGCGUAAUGAUGGCCAGGCUGUCUCCACCCGAGACUCAGUGAAAUUGAACUCGCUGUGAAGAUGCAGUGUACCCGCGGCAAGACGGAAAGACCCCGUGAACCUUUACUACAGCUUGACACUGAACAUUGAGCCUUGAUGUGUAGGAUAGGUGGGAGGCUUUGAAGCGUGGACGCCAGUCUGCGUGGAGCCGACCUUGAAAUACCACCCUUUAAUGUUUGAUGUUCUAACCUGGCGCCGUAAUCCGGCGUGGGGACAGUGUCUGGUGGGUAGUUUGACUGGGGCGGUCUCCUCCCAAAGUGUAACGGAGGAGCACGAAGGUCAGCUAAUCCUGGUCGGACAUCAGGAGGUUAGUGCAAUGGCAUAAGCUGGCUUGACUGCGAGAGUGACGGCUCGAGCAGGUGCGAAAGCAGGUCAUAGUGAUCCGGUGGUUCUGUAUGGAAGGGCCAUCGCUCAACGGAUAAAAGGUACUCCGGGGAUAACAGGCUGAUACCGCCCAAGAGUUCAUAUCGACGGCGGUGUUUGGCACCUCGAUGUCGGCUCAUCACAUCCUGGGGCUGAAGUAGGUCCCAAGGGUAUGGCUGUUCGCCAUUUAAAGUGGUACGCGAGCUGGGUUUAGAACGUCGUGAGACAGUUCGGUCCCUAUCUGCCGUGGGCGCUGGAGAAUUGAGGGGGGCUGCUCCCAGUACGAGAGGACCGGAGUGGACGCAUCACUGGUGUUCGGGUUGUCAUGCCAAUGGCACUGCCCGGUAGCUAAAUGCGGAAGAGAUAAGUGCUGAAAGCAUCUAAGCACGAAACUUGCCCCGAGAUGAGUUCUCCCUGAGACUUUAAGUCUCCUGAAGGAACGUUGAAGACGACGACGUUGAUAGGCCGGGUGUGUAAGCGCAGCGAUGCGUUGAGCUAACCGGUACUAAUGAACCGUGAGGCUUAACCUU
rnacentral:rRNA from 1 species